rnacentral:lncRNA from 10 species
CUGGGAUUACAGGUGUGAGCCACCGCACCCGGCCUUAUUUUUUAUUUUGUAGAGAUGGGGUCUCACUAUGUCGUCCAGACUAGUCUCAAACUCCUGAGCUCAAGCAAUCCUCCUGCCUCAGCCUCCCAAAGUGCUGAGAUUACAGGCAUGAGCCACCAUGCCUAGCUCAAUAUGUAAAUAAAUUAGCAAAAUAUAUGGUAUGUCAGCUCCAAGUGGAGACACAAGAGAUGGGUGUGAGCUGGCAAGGCUGAUAGCCCUGGCCCUGGUGCACAGUGGGACCCAGAAGACGGAGAGCAGAAGGAAGUCCCCAGAUAGGCAGCAACAUGGACCCUCUAGCAGAGACAUUAGAGCUGCUAAAAGAUUCAGAGUAACAAUCAUCGCCGUCAUACAACAGCAGGAAGCACUGACAUACUGACAUUCCACACCAGGUGCUGUUCUGUUUGCUUUACAAAUAUCACUUCAUCUUUACAGCAGUCCUAUGAAUAUGGUGCUAUUAUUAUUUGGAUUUUUCUGUUUCUUUUUUUUGAGAUGGAGUUUCGCUCUUGUUGCCCCCAGCGUACAAUGGCGCAGUCUUGGCUCACUGCAACUUCCGCCUCCCAGGUUCAGGCGAUUCUCCUGACUCAGCCUCUCAAGUAGCUGGGAUUACAGGCAUGUGCCACCACGCCCGGCUAAUUUUGUAUUUUUAGGAGAGACGGGGUUUCUCCAUGUUGGUCAGGCUGGUCUCGAACCCCGGACUUCAGGUGAUCUGCCAGCC